rnacentral:rRNA from 1 species
GACGAACGCUGGCGGCGUGCCUAAUACAUGCAAGUUGAGCGAUGAAGAUUGGUGCUUGCACCAAUUUGAAGAGCAGCGGACGGGUGAGUAACGCGUGGGGAAUCUGCCUUUGAGCGGGGGACAACAUUUGGAAACGAAUGCUAAUACCGCAUAACAACUUUAACCAUAAGGUUUAAGUUUGAAAGAUGCAAUUGCUUCACUUAAAGAUGAUCCCGCGUUGUAUUUACUAGUUGGUGAGGUAAAGGCCUAACAAGGCGAAGAUACAUAGCCGGCCUUAGAGGGGUGUCGGCCACAAUGGGACUGGGAACAGGCCCAAAACCCUACGGGGAGCAGCAGGAGGGAAUCUUCGGGAAUGGACGGAAGGCUGAACGAGGAACGCCGGGGGGGUGAAGAAGGGUUUCGGAUCGGUAAAAUCCGUUGGUAGGGAAGAACGUAAGUGGGAGUGGAAAGCGCAUCAAGUGACGGUAACUACUCAGAAAGGCACGGCUAACUACGUG